UGGGGGAUCGUUUAAGUGGUAGGACUAUGGACUCUGACUCCAUCAACCCAGGUUCGAAUCCUGGUCCCCCAGCCA
rnacentral:tRNA from 1 species